rnacentral:rRNA from 1 species
UACGUAGGGGGCAAGCGUUGUCCGGAAUCAUUGGGCGUAAAGGGCGCGUAGGCGGCACUGUUAGUCAGGCGUGAAAGUCCUGGGCUCAACCUGGGAACUGCGCUUGAUACGGCAGAGCUAGAGGAUGGAAGAGGCUCGCGGAAUUCCCAGUGUAGAGGUGAAAUUCGUAGAUAUUGGGAAGAACACCGGUGGCGAAGGCGGCGAGCUGGUCCAUUACUGACGCUGAGGCGCGACAGCGUGGGGAGCAAACAGG